rnacentral:lncRNA from 1 species
GUGGGUAAGUGCAGAAUAUCAAACAGCACUGGUGCUCCGGUGUUGAGGAUUACACACGAUGGCAAUAUCACUACUUGAUUACGAUGACAUUUAUUAUAAUCUCCUGUUACCGACAAGACUGCGAGCUAGCUAGUAAAGUGGUCUGGAUUCCUCUCAGUCACAGGUAAUCCUCACAGUCACAGCAAACUGCAACCUCUUUUACUGCACACACUUGGAGAAGAGUGAUCUCAGCUGUUCUAGUUACUACAUACUGUGUUCUAGUGAUUACCAACAUGCAAACUGCAAUCUCUUUUGCUUGAGAAUUAAGAUUACUGGAUGGUUGACUUUUCUCAUUAGAAGAUUAAUGUUCU